rnacentral:rRNA from 1 species
CAUGUAGGCGGAUAUGCAAGCUUGGUGUGAAAGGCAGGGGCUUAACUCCUGGACUGCGUUGAGAACUGCAUAACUAGAGUAACUGAGGGGCAACCGGAAUUCCAGGUGUAGGGGUGAAAUCCGUAGAUAUCUGGAAGAACACCAAUGGCGAAGGCAGGUUACCAGCAGAUUACUGACGCUGAGGUGCGAAGGUGCGGGGAGCAAACA